rnacentral:rRNA from 1 species
AGUGAACGCUGGCGGUAGGCCUAACACAUGCAAGUCGAACGGCAGCACAGUAAGAGCUUGCUCUUACGGGUGGCGAGUGGCGGACGGGUGAGGAAUACAUCGGAAUCUACUUUUUCGUGGGGGAUAACGUAGGGAUACUUACGCUAAUACCGCAUACGACCUACGGGUGAAAGCAGGGGAUCUUCGGACCUUGCGCGAUUGAAUGAGCCGAUGUCGGAUUAACUAGUUGGCGGGGUAAAGGCCCACCAAGGCGACGAUCCGUAGCUGGUCUGAGAGGAUGAUCAGCCACACUGGAACUGAGACACGGUCCAGACUCCUACGGGAGGCAGCAGUGGGGAAUAUUGGACAAUGGGCGCAAGCCUGAUCCAGCCAUACCGCGUGGGUGAAGAAGGCCUUCGGGUUGUAAAGCCCUUUUGUUGGGAAAGAAAAGCAGCAGGUUAAUACCCCGCUGUUCUGACGGUACCCAAAGAAUAAGCACCGGCUAACUUCGUG